UACGUAGGGUGCAAGCGUUUGUCCGGAAUUAUUGGGCGUAAAGAGCUCGUAGGCGGUCUGUCGCGUCUGCUGUGAAAACCUAGGGCUUAACUCUGGGCGUGCAGUGGGUACGGGCAGGCUAGAGUGCGGUAGGGGAGACUGGAAUUCCUGGUGUAGCGGUGAAAUGCGCAGAUAUCAGGAGGAACACCGGUGGCGAAGGCGGGUCUCUGGGCCGAUACUGACGCUGAGGAGCGAAAGCGUGGGGAGCGAACAGG
rnacentral:rRNA from 1 species